AUCGAGUUAGGGAUAGUAGUGAAAAUCCCGCAAGCUGAUAGUUCAGCUGAGGAAUUGUAGCGAAUAGCCCGACCCCGA
rnacentral:sRNA from 1 species